UAGUAGUUCUGUUCCGCCAGAACUAUUCAACUAGCUACAUUGUUCCGAGACUUUUCAACUAGCUACUUUUUCCGGAACUUUUCGACAGCACUUGGAAUAAAACAACUACAGUGGAGUCCCCGGUGUCCGCGCGGCCCGUGAUAUCGCGCAUUAGCUGAUUUUGUCAUAUCAACACAGUAACACAAACAAAAUCGUUCUUGUUAUUGUUUUAGCCUUCCGAAGGGAUGAAAAAGAAUAAAUUUGAUAAGUCCAAGAGUUAAUUAAUAACUGCAAUCCAGUGAUUUGCCAUAUUUGGCCAAUUUCCAUAAAAAAAAAUACAUCAUCAGAUAAAAUUUGU
rnacentral:lncRNA from 1 species